rnacentral:rRNA from 1 species
GUCUACGGCCAUGCCACCUUGAACAAGCUCAAUCCUGUCCGAUCUCGAAAGCUAAGCAAGGUCGGGGCCUGAUUAGAACUUGGAUGGGAGACCACCUAGGAAGACCAGGUACUGUAGGAG